rfam:Picea glauca, whole genome shotgun sequence.
ACGACCUUACUUGAACAAAAUUUGUUCCAUAGGUUGUAUGUCUUAGUCUACGUAGAAUCCUAUACAAACAAGCACACAAAUCCGGAAAAUGAACUAUGGCUCUCAGGCCAAAGCGUGAAUACUGUGAUGGUUGGGACUCCGCUCCCACCCGUCUCUCAAUGAAUGUCCCGUCUGUGACAUUUACAGUUCUUGAGGGUGAAAGCCUGAGAGCGUUCUGACGAAUC